rnacentral:rRNA from 1 species
UCUACGGGGGGCAGCAGUGGGGAAUAUUGGACAAUGGGGGCAACCCUGAUCCAGCCAUGCCGCGUGUGUGAAGAAGGCCUUCGGGUUGUAAAGCACUUUACGCGGGGAGGAAGGCCUUGAGACUAAUACUCUUGAGGAUUGACGUUACCCGCAGAAUAAGCACCGGCUAACUCUGUGCCAGCAGCCGCGGUAAUACAGAGCGUGCAAGCGUUAAUCGGAGUUACUGGGGGUAAAUCGCGCGUAGGCAGUUGAAAUCCCCGGGCUCAACCUGGGCACGGCAUCCGAUACUGGCUGACUAGAGUGUGGGAGAGGAAGGUAGAAUUCCAGGUGUAGCGGUGAAAUGCGUAGAGAUCUGGAGGAAUACCGAUGGCGAAGGCAGCCUUCUGGCCUAACACUGACGCUGAGGUGCGAAAGCAUGGGGAGCAAACAGGAUUAGAUACCCCAGUAGUC